GUAGGUGGCAAGCGUUGUCCGGAAUUAUUGGGCGUAAAGCGCGCGCAGGCGGUUCUUUAAGUCUGAUGUGAAAGCCCACGGGCUCAACCGUGAGGGUCAUUGGAAACUGGAGAACUUGAGUACAGAAAGAGGAAAGCGGAAUUCCACGUGUAGCGGUGAAAUGCGUAGAGAUGUGGAGGAACACCAGUGGCGAAGGCGGCUUUCUGGUCCGUAACUGACGCUGAGGCGCGAAAGCGUGGGGAGCAAACAGGAUUAGAUACCCUGGUAGUCCACGCCGUAAACGAUGAGUGCUAAGUGGUUAGGGGGUUUCCGCCCCUUAGUGCUGCAGCUAACGCAUUAAGCACUCCGCCUGGGGAGUACGGCCGCAAAGGCUG
rnacentral:rRNA from 1 species